rnacentral:rRNA from 2 species
UACGGAGGAUCCGAGCGUUAUCCGGAUUUAUUGGGUUUAAAGGGAGCGUAGGCGGGUGCUUAAGUCAGUUGUGAAAGUUUGCGGCUCAACCGUAAAAUUGCAGUUGAUACUGGGCGCCUUGAGUGCAGCAUAGGUAGGCGGAAUUCGUGGUGUAGCGGUGAAAUGCUUAGAUAUCACGAAGAACUCCUAUUGCGAAGGCAGCUUACUGGACUGUAACUGACGCUGAUGCUCGAAAGUGUGGGUAUCAAACAGG